CAUUUUUAUUGUGAUGGACAAACUUAAAAAUUUAUUUAAAAACAUUUUUGUCUCUGAUUUCUUCACUACUUUUAAAGUUUAAUUGCAGUGGUGCAAUAUGAUAAAUUAUUGCAAGCUAAAUUUUGGUUACAAUCUGCAUAGAAUAUGUUGCUGUUAUAGCAUAAAUUAUUUUCCAGAGCAUCUCUUUCAGCCCAAUACUUUACACAAGAUAUUAUUGAUUGCAUUUAUUAAUGCAAUUAUCAAAUAGGGGCAAAAAUUUAUCAAUGUUAUAGCAGGAUUUGCCAAUUUUUUUUUUUUAUCAGAAUUAGGAAUGCAAGUUACAAUUAAUCUGAUAUUGACACAAUCAGGUUUUUUUUUAGCGUUUAUUACUAUGUUGCAAAAAUGUUUGACAGAACAUACAGUACCCAAGUUUUAAGGCCAUAAUUUUAAAAAAAAUGCAUUUUUAAUGGCUAGUCAUUAAAAUUUCAUAUGUUGGAUUCAUCAACCACUGCAAUUCCAUCAUCUAUAACUAGUAUCAUAAAACAUUUUAGUUUAAGAUGGGAGAAAAUUAUAUAAAUACCGAAGACCAUGUAUUCUCUCUGAUUUCUAAAAGUCUCACUGUUUGUUUCUUAUAGGUUGCAUAUGCUUUGUAAAAUUUACAUUAUGAUUAUCACUGAAGUUUUUUGUAUUCUGGAAAAAGUGAAGUUUCCUGUAUAAUAUUGAACUUAUUUUGUAGUAUAAUGAAAGUAGUUGUUGGAAAGUAGUUAAAGAUCUUUUUUAUGAUAAUGACAGACAUGCUUAUAAAAAUGCUAUAAAUUGUAACAUUUCAUGAUAAAAAUGAGAGUAGCGUUCAAAUUUUUUUGUGAAAAUUCAGCACCUUUUCCAUCCAAAGCAAUUUCCGAGCAUGCCUGCAUAUUAUCAUGAAAAGAUACAUUUAUAAAGUAUUGAAUCAUGUUAACAUUCCAUUACUAAUAUUAGUGAUCAUAGAAUAAAUUAUGAUAAAUAU
rnacentral:lncRNA from 1 species